UAGGGAAUCUUCGGCAAUGGACGAAAGUCUGACCGAGCAACGCCGCGUGAGUGAAGAAGGUUUUCGGAUCGUAAAACUCUGUUGUUAGAGAAGAACAAGGACGUUAGUAACUGAACGUCCCCUGAUGGUAUCUAACCAGAAAGCCACGGCUAACUACGUGCCAGCAGCCGCGGUAAUACGUAGGUGGCAAGCGUUGUCCGGAUUUAUUGGGCGUAAAGCGAGCGCAGGCGGUUUCUUAAGUCUGAUGUGAAAGCCCCCGGCUCAACCGGGGAGGGUCAUUGGAAACUGGGGGACUUGAGUGCAGAAGGGGGGAGUGGAAUUCCAUGUGUAGCGGUGAAAUGCGUAGAUAUAUGGAGGAACACCAGUGGCGAAGGCGGCUAUCUGGUCUGUAACUGACGCUGAGGCUCGAAAGCGUGGGGAGCAAACAGG
rnacentral:rRNA from 1 species